rnacentral:rRNA from 1 species
UACGGGGGGAGCAAGCGUUGUUCGGAUUUACUGGGCGUAAAGGGCGCGUAGGCGAUAGCACAAGUCAGUUGUGAAAUCUCCGGGCUUAACUCGGAAAGGUCAACUGAUACUGUGCGACUAGAGUGCAGAAGGGGCAACUGGAAUUCUCGGUGUAGCGGUGAAAUGCGUAGAUAUCGAGAGGAACACCUGCGGCGAAGGCGGGUUGCUGGGCUGACACUGACGCUGAGGCGCGAAAGCCAGGGGAGCGAACGGG